rnacentral:other from 1 species
AAACCCCUGCUCUGUUGGUGAUCAGCGGAGUAUUGAGCCAACUCUUCCGAAAAGGGCAGCCUUGCUGUCGGACCAUGGAUAUCCGCACGGAACUCCAGCAGCCGGCAUGGGCACUGCCCACCUAAUACACUUAGGUUUAAUCAUUUCGUUGACACGGCAGCGCGGGGGCUUG